rnacentral:rRNA from 1 species
AUUGAACGCUGGCGGCAUGCCUUACACAUGCAAGUCGAACGGCAGCACGGACUUCGGUCUGGUGGCGAGUGGCGAACGGGUGAGUAAUAUAUCGGAACAUACCUUGUAGUGGGGGAUAACUAUCCGAAAGGAUAGCUAAUACCGCAUACGAUCUAAGGAGGAAAGCGGGGGAUCGUAAGACCUCGUGCUAUAAGAGUGGCCGAUAUCUGAUUAGCUACUUGGUGAGGUGAAGGCUCACCAAGGCGACGAUCAGUAGCUGGUCUGAGAGGACGACCAGCCACACUGGAACUGAGACACGGUCCAGACUCCUACGGGAGGCAGCAGUGGGGAAUUUUGGACAAUGGGGGCAACCCUGAUCCAGCAAUGCCGCGUGAGUGAAGAAGGCCUUCGGGUUGUAAAGCUCUUUUGUCAGGGAAGAAACGGUUGUGGCUAAUAUCCAUGGCUAAUGACGGUACCUGAAGAAUAAGCACCGGCUAACUACGUGCCAGCAGCCGCCGUAA